UUUGAAUGAAUAUUCUUUGACCAAGCAAAGCAUAGUACAAGUCCGAGGCUGGAAAACUUGCCUAGGAAAAAUGUUGAUUUCCCGACUGAACUCAUGUCAAUCUACCAACGACUGCCAGCCAUUUGAUUCAUUGGUUAAAGGAAAUGGUAUGGUCCUGUUGUUUUUUUUUUUUUUUUUUUUUAAUGAAAUGGUAACUGUCUUACGAUUAUCGUACAAGUUAUUUUAUAUAAAAUACUCGAUUGGAGGUUCGAAAGAGGGACCGAAGAGCUUUCAACUUUGGUCUUUUGAUCCGAGAAUAUCUUCCAAGGUGCAAGGGAAAUGGCCAGAGGUACAAGCUGGGCGUCGAUGGGAGGGGAUUGACAAGAACUCGGCUUUCGGUACGUGAGAUGGAUGCUGUACACUGGAUGGAUCACGAAGUAAACACCGAAAACAGAGAUGCAUGACGGCUGGAAUCUGACUUCAAGGACUUUGCGACAAGGGAUCCACUAUCACAUUUCCUCUUUGUUUUAGUAAUUGAGCCAUUGAGUUGCAUGAAGGAGGCUGCCGUCGGGGGGAUUUCUUGCUGUUUUUUCGGUGGGCAACAAUAAUAAUGGUGUCAGUUCUAUUUCUCACUUACUAUUCACGAAUGAUACGCUCAUCUUUUGUGAUGUUGUUACCGACCAAAUUCAAGCUCUAAAUAGACUUUUGUAUUAGUUUUUUUUAUCUGUAGGAGUGUCCUUUUAUUCUAAAUGGACAUAAAUGUUUGGUUGUUUUUAUUUCACAAAUGUAUUUAUGCGGAAGUUGGCAUUGUUUUA